CCAAACUCAACCUUUCUCCAUGAUUCUCAUCAUAACAAUGAGGAAUGCCACUUACAAUACACCUAAUUACAGAUAUCCUAUUGGCUAUGCUUGUGUAAAUUUAAUAAAAGUUUUACCCUAGAAUUUGCAGUUGAGGAACUUGCGUUUUAGUUUUAUAACUCAACAGUCUUUAGAGGUAGCAAAGAAAACAAUACAGUUCAUUGUUCAACUUACGAGUAGAAAGAAAGAGCAAGCUCUGCCAGUAUCAUCAUUCAUCAAUCACCAAACAAGAAAACCGAAGGACCAUUCAUCAGGAGUUAACAAAAUCCCAAACACUAAAUAUAUAAACAAUGUCCAAAAAGCAAAAUCUUAAUCACUGGAGUGAGGACAGUGAAGUAACCUUCCUCGGUUGAAUAUCAAUGCCUGCAGUCAGUGCUCAACAUGUAUGACCUAUACAAUCAAACACAGCAGUGAAGUGAACGCAGAAUCUGGUUGUUGUGGAAGCUAGUUACUCUUUCUAAUUUACAAUGACCCAUGUUCACUGUCACAUGCAACUGCGAGAAGGCGGACCUGACCCCAUUUAAUUACCUCUGUAAGUGAAGACAAAAAUAUGGCAAAAUUAUGUAUCUGAGCUGCCAUGUGCAAUGUACAAGGAGUUUUCCUGCAUCAACAUUGUCUGUUUGAAACCUGCCCUCUGUUUGGUAGCCUCAGCUGCAAGGAAAGAAAAAUGAAUUUUCCCCUGGCAGAAUCUUAUUAUCGAAAGUUCAACGCAAGUUUAAAUUUGUGACCUUUGGCCUUGUAGUCCUCCAACCUCCGGAAUUCUGCUGCGGGGUAUAUAAGAAUCUAUCAAGGGAGUUGAAAGCAGCAAUCUUAUCCAUGCUUGGGCUGUCUAGGAAAUCCUUUUGCCUCGAUUCCAUGUCAACUGAUGCUUCAAGAUUCUGAAUUUCCAGAUGAUCUAAAUAAAAUAAUAUCUUGUUAAGUAAUUGAACAUUUGAUGCAUCAGUAGCCAUGAUUUGCACUCCAAGACAGUUUGAGGUACUGCAGAAGGGGCAAAAAAGAGAAUGGAAAACACACCCAUCUUCUUCACACCAAACCCCUCGUCCUGGCUUAUCUUCGAGAGUAUUAUUGCAGAGACGCUGAUCUACUGAUGUGAUAUCAGUUAUGAGAACAGGUAUGCAUGUUGAUGCAUUCUCUGAGCAAUGCUCCAAUUUUCCUUUCACAAGAGACAUUAAGUGAACUUUUGAUGAUGAAGUCAAUGAGCACCUAACGUAUAACUGGUUUUCAGGAAGACCCAAUGGGCUAUUGCAGCGUGAACAAGAAAUUCGUAAAUUCUGGUCCAUGACAGGAUCAGAAGAGAUAUGUGAUGGAGCACAAUUGCCCACUGGGAACGAUUGGGAUGCUUUUAACUUAGCGGACUGGCAUUCUAAAGAGUUGGUCACAGAAUCAAAUUCAAUCCUGCGAUUUGCAUCUUUAUUAGCGCUUGUGUUUCUUAUGAAACUAACACAGCCAGGAGUUUCAGCAUAGGGAGAAUCAGAUUUUUCUUCAACAUGGUCAAUUAAUGGCCAGCCCAUGGACUUGCUCUUUUUCUGGGUAUGAGAAUUAACACUCAAAUUAAGAGUUGACUCUGCUUCCGGUAUCAGGUUGCAGGUGUUCUCAGUGAAGUCUUUUUUGGGAGUCUCUACAACUAAACACUGGGAUUUGCUAACAGCUUUGCUUGCAUCUGCAGGAGACAAUGGACAGGAUGACACUUGAUCCAUAAACUCAACAGACGCCUGAAACAUGGAUAAACAAGAGUUCCCAUCCUUGGAGAAAGAACUGGAUCUAGUUGUGGCUCCAUUGCAGCCCAUACCAGGGGUUUCCUUCACGAUGGUUAUUUCUGGAUAUUCCUGGGAAGAUGCCUCAGAGCACCUUGAACUUGAAUCUUUCUGAAAGUCGCAUUCUAGAUCAAUAAUUUCUCUCUGACUGUCAACGUCCUUGUUCAUUUGCAUGGAUGCCUGUCCUUCAACAUCAUCUUGAAACUUAGCUUCAGGAGAAGUUGCAUCACAUUUUGUCAACUGGACUGGUAUCCCUUCAGAAUGAUCAGACUUGUUCAACAUCCGCUUUUUGUUUUUUGCACAACCUUUGACUUGCUCACCAGCAGGCAUGUUUUUUCCCUCGCUAGUGUCAGAAUUCGGUAAGAGAUCCACCAUCUUCUUGCAAAUGUUGUCCUUGACAUCUCUGAAAAAGGUCUGUAAUCCCUCCAUUGACAUGUUAUAGCUGUCAUAGUGGCGAAUAGAUUUCUUUAGCCACUUUGAAAUGUAAACUUUAUUCUGCUCUUUGUUAUAACGCUCGUCUAAUAGGAUGAUGGCUCCAUAGUCAAACCUAUGCCGUAUACAGCGUCCUAUAGCUUGAUUCAGAGCUCGGAAGGCUUGGUGACAGUACCACUCAUUCCCACUUAGAAGUUUUUUUGAUGUUUUGUAUAUGUCGUUGUAGUUCUUCUUUAGACCGACUUGAAUAUCAUGUACGUUUGGAAAUGGAAUACCAACUACUAUAACCACUCGAGCAUUAUCAUCAGAAAAGUCCAUUCCUUCUGAAACCUUUCCCCGGCAAACAGCAAGAAACGCAGCUCCCCCUUUUUCAGAAUUUUCUGUGGGUUCUAUAGCCUUGAAGUGUUUGAGGUCUACUUUUUUUACCCUUCUCUUUCUCCCAACAGCAUGUUUGUUACGUUGAUGAAUCGAAUCAUGAUAACCCUUCAAAACAGAGUCAAAAUCAUCCUCCUGGCUUCCUCCUCUUGGCUCAACAAAGAAGGACUUUUUUGCAUUUAGUUGAGACCAUUGACCAGUUUCACGCCAACGAUUGCAGAGCUUUUCCAUAAGCUUAUAACUUGGGAAGAACACAAGACAGCCAGCUGGGACAAUCAUGCAAAUAUCCUCCAACGUUUUUCCAAGUGCAUCCUGGAAAGCAUACUCAUCUGCUGUUUUAUAACUUGCAUUCAGUGGAUAAUUAUCAGGACCAGUGGAUAUUACAGCAGCCCACACCUGUGAUUCGGUAUCAACCACAUGCGGUGCUUCCAGACAAGUUCCAAACUGAACUCCAAGCUCAGAUGAGAAGGAAUUCAUUGGUGAUAGAGUCCCAGACGUUAAAAUGACUGACAAAGAAAUAUUAGCAAUGUCUCUAAAAACAACACCUGGAUUCAAGCACCAUAAACUUAAAGUAUAUGUCCAGUCACCAACAGGAUUUUUUCUAUCUCUUUUAAUAGAUCGUUGCAAAGCAAGCUGAUAGUCAGAUGCGUGACAACCGUUUCUUGAGAAGAAAUAAGUAAGUGAAGAGAAUAAACCUUCCAACACUAUCACUGACAUGCCACUUAAAUGAUCUGUGUCCAAUUCUGUAUCUGUUGCAGCUUUAAUUGCCUUUGUGGCACAAUCCAGCAAGAUUGGGAAGCACUGCUGUGAAAUAUUAGCGUCUUCAAGCUCCCUCAGAGCCUUAUCACCAGUCCAACAAGAACAAUAGUGCUGAAAUUCACGCUUCUGUAAUGUGCUUUUCCUCCGGUUCAUCCAACUCAACAAAUCCUGUGCCAUAUCAUGUAGUGGUUGGUAAAUUGUGGGCUUGAGCAUACAAAGUUCCUGUAAUUCCAUCUGCAAUUUAUGUAAAACAUCUUCUUCAGCGUCCAUACUGCCAGCAUCACGAGCAAUGUCUUCUAUGUUAUGAGCUUCAUCAAGAAUAAGAAUGGCUCCUUUAAUGUCUACAUCCAUUGCUCCUCGGAUGACUGGAUUAAUUAUAUAGCUGUAUGGGCAGAAAAUUAACUGUGCAUCAUCCGCCAUUGAGCGAGCCGCAUAGUAUGAACAACCUUUAACAACAUUUCCAACUUUAACAAGAUCUUCAAUAUCAUGCACCUCAUGGCAACCUCCACUUUGAAGUGAUGGAUGAGCUCUGACUUUAUUUGCAUUUUUGAAUUGUGAGCACCCAGCAUCUUGAUCCCUUAAGAGAAGUUUACAUUCUUCAUCAAUAUUCUCCCUGCCACGUACAUGUGCAUUUGUGCAGUAAUGUUUUCUUGAAGCCAACACUGCCAUUGGGACCCGAUAUGCAGUUUUCCGAUAUUCGCGGAUCACUUGGGAAAUUUGUGAAUGCGUCCUCGAUGAGUAAAAUAUGGUGGGUGCAGCCUUUUUCUUUUGAUUUUUGUUAGCUUCCGCAGGUUGGGGUGGCUCUGCAUUUACAGAAGGUGGAAUACUCGAAGGCUGUGUCUCCGGAAUAAAUCCACCGCCAUGUGCCAGAGGAUCGGUCAUUGCAUCGGGAUUGGGUUUUUGAUGAGACAGAUCGGCAUUCUGGUGCUUGAUCUUGUAGUUCUGUUGCCACGAGAGAGUGGAGCAAAGAAGAGAGAGGGAUUUCCCAGUACCAGUGGGUGACUCGAGCAGUGCAUGGCAAUGACCGUCUCUCUGGGCUCGAUCGAGAGUGGAAAUGACCCUUCCCAUGAAAGCGAGCUGCGUUCCAUACGGUUGGUACGGAAAUUCCACUUGGAUUCCGCCGAUAUGGUAUACAUUUUUGGUUUUAGGAUUUGGUUUGUUGCUUGCAAGAGUUGCGGAGACCAUUAUCGUGAGAUUCAGUGAAGGAUAUUGG
rnacentral:misc_RNA from 1 species